rnacentral:rRNA from 1 species
CCUACGGGAGGCAGCAGUGAGGAAUAUUGGUCAAUGGUCGGGAGCCUGCACCAGCCAAGUCGCGUGAGGGAGGACGGUCCUAUGGAUUGUAAACCUCUUUAGGCGGGGAGCAAUGCCGGGCACGCGUGCCCGGAGGGAGAGUACCCGCAGCAUAAGCAUCGGCUAACUCCGUGCCAGCAGCCGCGGUAAUACGGAGGAUGCGAGCGUUAUCCGGCUUUAUUGGGUUUAAAGGGUGCGUAGGCGGAUUUUUAAGUCAGCGGUAAAAUGUCCGGGCUCAACCCGGGCCGGCCGUUGAAACUGGGGAGCUUGAGUGGGCGAGAAGUAGGCGGAAUGCGUGGUGUAGCGGUGAAAUGCAUAGAUAUCACGCAGAACUCCGAUUGCGAAGGCAGCAUACCGGCGCCCGACUGACGCUGAGGCACGAAAGCGUGGGGAUCGAACAGGAUUAGAUACCCCGGUAGUC